CAGAUUUGACCGCCGCAGCUUUGACAGAGACAGCAAGAAAUGGCGUCGAAGACGUGGUCACUCUAUUCUACGUGGAUCCUCUUAGCGGUUAUCGUCGCCAUGAGCACUGUUGGUGCAGAAGAGUCCAAGUUUCUUAUUCCAAAAUGUAAACAGGGAGAAUCCUCAGGAUGUGUGAAACCUCCCGGUAAUCCGUGCGCCGAGGACACAUGCAACGUGGAAAAGCGUGGUAAUUUUUGUUUUUACGACUGUCUAAUGGGUUGCGUGUGUAACAAAGGCCUGUAUCGUCGCUUGUCGGACCGGAAGUGCGUUCCUCAAAGUGAAUGCAAUGCCUAAUCUCGCCGACGAUGACGUCAUGCGGAUACGGCGCAGUAAUAAAAUAUAGCAGCUGCAUUUCCCA